GACGAACGCUGGCGGCGUGCUUAACACAUGCAAGUCGAACGGAAAGGCCCUGCUUUUGUGGGGUGCUCGAGUGGCGAACGGGUGAGUAACACGUGAGUAACCUGCCCUUGACUUUGGGAUAACUUCAGGAAACUGGGGCUAAUACCGGAUAGGAGCUCCUGCUGCAUGGUGGGGGUUGGAAAGUUUCGGCGGUUGGGGAUGGACUCGCGGCUUAUCAGCUUGUUGGUGGGGUAGUGGCUUACCAAGGCUUUGACGGGUAGCCGGCCUGAGAGGGUGACCGGCCACAUGGGGACUGAGAUACGGCCCAGACUCCUACGGGAGGCAGCAGUGGGGAAUAUUGCCCAAUGGGCGGAAGCCUGAUGCAGCAACGCCGCGUGCGGGAUGACGGCCUGCGGGUUGUAAACCGCUUUCGCCUGUGACGAAGCGUGAGUGACGGUAAUGGAUAAAGAAGCACCGGCUAACUACGUG
rnacentral:rRNA from 1 species